AUGAACGCUGGCGGCGUGCCUAAUACAUGCAAGUCGAGCGAACAGACGAGGAGCUUGCUCCUCUGACGUUAGCGGCGGACGGGUGAGUAACACGUGGAUAACCUACCUAUAAGACUGGGAUAACUUCGGGAAACCGGAGCUAAUACCGGAUAAUAUAUUGAACCGCAUGGUUCAAUAGUGAAAGACGGUUUUGCUGUCACUUAUAGCUGGAUCCGCGCCGCAUUAGCUAGUUGGUAAGGUAACGGCUUACCAAGGCAACGAUGCGUAGCCGACCUGAGAGGGUGAUAGGCCACACUGGAACUGAGACACGGUCCAGACUCCUACGGGAGGCAGCAGUAGGGAAUCUUCCGCAAUGGGCGAAAGCUUGACGGAGAAACGCCGCGUGAGUGAUGAAGGUCUUCGGAUCGUAAAACUCUGUUAUUAGGGAAGAACAAAUGUGUAAGUAACUAUGCACGUCUUGACGGUACCUAAUCAGAAAGCCACGGCUAACUACGUG
rnacentral:rRNA from 1 species